UGGGGAAUAUUGCACAAUGGGCGCAAGCCUGAUGCAGCCAUGCCGCGUGUGUGAAGAAGGCCUUCGGGUUGUAAAGCACUUUGGCAGGAAAGAAACGUCGCGGGUUAAUACCCCGCGAAACUGACGGUACCUGCAGAAUAAGCACCGGCUAACUACGUGCCAGCAGCCGCGGUAAUACGUAGGGUGCAAGCGUUAAUCGGAAUUACUGGGCGUAAAAGCGUGCGCAGGCGGUUCGGAAAGAAAGAUGUGAAAUCCCAGAGCUUAACUUUGGAACUGCAUUUUAACUACCGGGCUAGAGUGUGUCAGAGGGAGGUGGAAUUCCGCGUGUAGCAGUGAAAUGCGUAGAUAUGCGGAGGAACACCGAUGGCGAAGGCAGCCUCCUGGGAUAACACUGACGCUCAUGCACGAAAGCGUGGGGAGCAAACAGGAUUAGAUACCCUGGUAGUCCACGCCCUAAACGAUGUCAGCUAGCUGUUGGGCCUUCGGGCCUUGGUAGCGCAGCUAACGCGUGAAGUUGACCGCCUGGGGAGUACGGUCGCAAGAUU
rnacentral:rRNA from 1 species